UACAGAGGUCUCAAGCGUUGUUCGGAAUCACUGGGCGUAAAGGGUGCGUAGGCCGCACGGUAAGUCAGAGGUGAAAUCCCGGAGCUCAACUUCGGAAUUGCCUCCGAUACUGCCGUGCUUGAGGACUGGGGAGGAGAUUGGAAUUCACAGUGGAGCAGUGAAAUGCGUAGAUAUUGUGAGGAACACUAGUGGCGAAGGCGAAUCUCUGGACAGUUCCUGACGCUGAGGCACGAAGGCCAGGGGAGCAAACGGG
rnacentral:rRNA from 1 species